GCGUGGGUGGUCUAAAGGUUAUGACUAUUGCCUUCCAAGCAAUCAAUCCGGGUUCAAUUCCCGGCCCGCGCA
rnacentral:tRNA from 1 species